AGGAUUGGCAUGGGCGAAAGCCUGAUCAGCCUGCCGCGUGUGUGAAGAAGGCCUUUUGGUUGUAAAGCACUUUAAGCGAGGAGGAGGCUACUUAGAUUAAUACUCUAGGAUAGUGGACGUUACUCGCAGAAUAAGCACCGGCUAACUCUGUGCCAGCAGCCGCGGUAAUACAGAGGGUGCGAGCGUUAAUCGGAUUUACUGGGCGUAAAGCGUGCGUAGGCGGCUUCUUAAGUCGGAUGUGAAAUCCCUGAGCUUAACUUAGGAAUUGCAUUCGAUACUGGGAAGCUAGAGUAUGGGAGAGGAUGGUAGAAUUCCAGGUGUAGCGGUGAAAUGCGUAGAGAUCUGGAGGAAUACCGAUGGCGAAGGCAGCCAUCUGGCCUAAUACUGACGCUGAGGUACGAAAGCAUGG
rnacentral:rRNA from 1 species